rnacentral:rRNA from 1 species
GUCGAACGGUAACGUUUCUAGCUUGCUAGAAGAUGACAAGUGGCGGACGGGUGAGUAAUGCUUGGGAACUUGCCUUUGCGAGGGGGAUAACAGUUGGAGACUGCUAAUACCGCAUAAUGUCUACGGACCAAACGGGGCUUCGGCUCCGGCGCAAGAGAGGCCCAAGUGAGAUUAGCUAGUUGGUAAGGUAAAGGCUUACCAAGGCGACGAUCUCUAGCUGUUCUGAGAGGAAGAUCAGCCACACUGGGACUGAGACAC